AUCGCUUCUCGUCCUUUUGGCUAAAAUCAAAGUGUAGUAUCUGUUCUUAUCUUUAGAACAUACUCACCCCUUCUCGUCCAAUGAAAAGUCAGUUUUUCCCCCUCUAAUUUUCAUAGUACAUGGUUUUCCAUGCACUAUGAAAUGCUAUACAUGAAUGACUUUUCAUUGUCAGUUAAUUAUGAAAGUGA